rnacentral:tRNA from 1 species
UCCUUGAUAGCUCAGUUGGUAGAGCACGCGGCUGUUAACCGCGGUGUCGUAGGUUCAAGUCCUACUCAGGGAG